rnacentral:tRNA from 2 species
GGAGGAGUGGUCGAGUGGUUUAUGGCAACGGUCUUGAAAACCGUCGAAAGUUUAUAACUUUUCGUGGGUUCGAAUCCCACCUCCUCCU